rnacentral:tRNA from 2 species
GCCUGGGUGGCGGAAUUGGUAGACGCAAGGGACUUAAAAUCCCUCGUUACCUGGUAACGUGCCGGUUCGAUUCCGGCCCCAGGCACCA